AAUGAAACGGAAAAAGGAAGCAAAUCGUCCUACUCAGCAUGUGUUUUUUGAAGGUAGGAUCUGGAUUUCAGCGAUCAUGGAGAUCUUGACUUUAAAGGCGUCUUUAGCAUCUAUUGAAGAUCCGUGCCAAGGCAAACGGUGCCGAGCUCACACACCUCAGCGCUGAGGUCUCUGGCAAAUUUGCAAGUUUUUUCAACGCCAAGGUGUCUCGUGCUAAAGUAGCCAAGUUCAACUCCAUGUACGCUAGCACUCAGCAAAAGGAUUCAAAGGGUCCAGUGGAUGUUGAUUUGCUUUUCUUAGGAACUGAUUUUGCCUGUUUUUGAGAUGGACUUUGAGAUGGGUGUGAGAUGCCUUAGGUUACUGUGUGUAGG